UACGGAGGGUGCAAGCGUUAUCCGGAUUCACUGGGUUUAAAGGGUGCGUAGGUGGAUUAGUAAGUCAGUGGUGAAAUCUCCGGGCUUAACCCGGAAACUGCCAUUGAUACUAUUAGUCUUGAAUACCGUGGAGGUCAGCGGAAUAUGUCAUGCAGCGGUGAAAUUCGUAGAUAUUGGGAAGAACACCGGUGGCGAAGGCGGCGACCUGGUCCGAUACUGACGCUGAGGCGCGAAAGCGUGGGGAGCAAACAGG
rnacentral:rRNA from 1 species